rnacentral:lncRNA from 1 species
UUUAUAUUUGGGAUAAUUGGCUAUAUACUCCUCAAAACUUUUAAAAUAUCCCAUUUACCUUUACCUUCUUUUUUUUUUUUCUUUCUAAUAUACCCCUCAUAUGUUUCUCCAUUAUUCCAAAAUACUUAUACAGUUACCACCCGUUUAGUUAACUUGGGUUAAACGUGAGUUAAAUAUCUAAUAGAGUUUAAAAAAAAAAAGUUAAAAUGCCUUUUUUGACCUUUAACUUAAGGGCAAAUAAAAAAUAUUUGUGAUAGUAGAAUGAUAUAUUUAAAAAGACCAAAAGUCAAAAUAUUUUUUAUGCCCCUAACAUAAGGACAAAUAAGAAAAGUCGGUGAUGAUGGAAGAGUAUAUUUAAAAGAAAAAUAAUAAUUUCACACAGAUAACAAGUAUUAAGUAUUGCUAAUAGUUCAUUAAUAACAGAAUUUAAUUAUAGAUGUAUAUUUGAAAUAGAUUGGAACGUUAAAAAAAAAAAGUAUUUUUAAUAUCAGUCUUCUAAAAGAGAUAAAUUAGAAAGUCGAAAAUUUUUCAAAAAUAUAUAAGCAAUUGCCCCUUUAUAUUUUUGUGACACCCCAAUAAUCCCACAUCGGAUGGGAAUGGGGUUGUCAUUGGGUUUAUAAGAGACUUAGACACUAGUAAUAAUAACUGGGCUUAAGCAUUUUGGGCCGGUUGUUUGGCCCAACGAGUUAUUAUUGCUAGUGGGCUAAGACGUUAAAACGAGUUAAAACGGAGAAGUUACGCGAUUAUUAGUUUUCACUUAAAGUGAAUAGUACUUCGGUUUUUCCGGAGAAGCCACGAGUAGAGUUGGCUUUCGACGCGUAUCGGACUCCGAACAUAGGACAUCAAUAGCAGCAAUGAUGCCCUGGUUUGUGGUUAAGUCGCGAUCUUCGCGCUGUGCGCGCAUUUAUCUGAUUUUCACAUCGCUCGUGCGCGCACCGCAGUGCCGGCAGUGCUCCGAAAGGUGAGCACGGCCUCCGACAUGCUGAACCUGGUCAGCGAGUACGACGUCGGAUUAAUCGACCCCUGGUUUGUGCGGCACGGUCCAGAAAAGUCUAGAAUACAUGAAAUGAUGCAAUUUCAUGUAUCGGUAUCGGACUUUUAGGCUUUCUACUUCGUUGUAGAUGCUGUGAGACAGCGUGAUAAAUGCCGAUUUCGGGUAAUCGGGGGCUUUUAUGUAUUUUGAGUUGUUGCGGCUUGCGUUGGCAAGCAUGGCAUGAUUGUGGGUGACCUCUGGACUGUUUGUCCAAGGCCCCGGACCUUGCCAAAGAUCGAAAAUGUAAUUUCCGGUGUGUUUGUCCGCAAAAUCCGCGCGACGAACGCUGGUUUUAGUUCGGAAUUCUUCCGACGGUGCCUCGUGAGGCAUUUGUUGAGACGCUGAGCUUUGUGGCUGGUCACUCGCAUCAUUUCAAGGGUUCAGAAAAUGAGAGUGAGCGACCGGUUGGGUUCCGGUGUCGAAUUUUCGACACUUCCGGAACCGCUAUUCGUACAAUAAUCCGCGCGAUCAAUUGUGUCGUCGGUGUUAUCUUAUGUUUGGCUGCCAAAUCAUUCAAAUGGGUGUUUGUGGGCCAGCGGUGCUGUACUAGAUAGCAUGGGUCGGGUGCGGUCAGGAACAUUUCAGUGGUCCCGACGGAGUCCGGUGCGAUUUUCGGGACUUCGGCGAGAUACGGGAUUCGUUUAUGAGGAAACUGAUCUCCGUGGUGUUUGUUAGAGGGAUUAUGAUUAGUGUUUUCUUAGUUGUAGGUUAGACACUAACCCAGUGGACCCUCUUAGGUAUCUGUUGACGUUCUUUUGCUCAGGAGCUAGGCGACGACAGUUGUAACAGUGUGGUACUUCGAUUCCAUACGUUGGGUACAGUGCGUUGCCGCUCAGGUGACGUUCCUUUACCUGGUUGUCAUAUUUUUACCAUAUAAUACAUGUUGAGCCUUGCACCCAUGCUGUUUCUUAUUACUCUAUUAGUUGUUGGCACUGUACGUAUCAUGAUAGCUUAGGGAGUUAGAAUAGACUUUACGGUAAUUGAUAUUUAAUGACUUUGGUUUGGUCUGAAUCUCUAUGUUGAUAUCCAUGACCCCCUGUUGGUCGACAGUUGCAGUACCCUAUACUUGUGACAUGAUUGGUCGAUGUUCAUAUUCCUAAUACUUGUGAAACAUGACUUUGCGUCAGACAUGUCAUAUCCUAUACUUGUGACAUGACUUGGUCGAGUUUCAUACGCUUAUACUUGUGGACCUGGCUUGCUCGAGUUUGGUAUACAUGAUGACCUGCGCCGGUCGAUGGUUCACAUGUGAUAUCAGGCUUGGAGUAGAGUUCGACUUAUUGUAACUAUCAUCUGUGAUUUGGGUUGGCGGUUCCCUAUUUUUGAUAUCUAUGACCUUCGCGUCGAGUGUACAGUUCUAUCUUGACAACGUUAGCCGGAUUAUUGCCUGAUGGCCUAUACGGAUCGGUUAGCCCUGAGGGCUGGAUUGUCGGCUAGUUGCCGAUGGAAUGUCUUUGAGUCAUACUACUUCAUGAUUCCACUGCAGGUACGUAUUCCAUCCAACCAGCGGUCUGAUCCACCGCAACGAGGGUGUUUCUUUCCGGCAAAAGUGCGUUGGAUUGGCACACCGUGAGCCAGGGCUUUAUUGGCGAGGGUAUAUCUUCUGACCCAGGGGCUUCAUGCGAGGGCAGUACGUGUUCUGACCCAGGGCUUCAUUGCGAGGAGUCAAGUACAGUUGACAGCAGAUGUGAUGGGCCUGAUGCGUCUUCGGGACCAAGUAGGCAGCGAGAUUGGGUUACUUUUGAGGCUUAUCGUAGUUGACGCCCCUUGCAUACAGUAGCUUAGUGUUUAUUUUCAGUCACAUCCUUAUCUGUUUUUAGGCUCUGUUUAUCUUACCUGCAUCUAUACUUGUCAGCUCCUACUUAUCAGCAUUCUUUAUUACCAGCACUACUAUGUUAUCUAGUUCCUCCGUGUUUGUUGUAUAGCCUUUCCUAUCCGAGUGAGUAUCCUCGCUUCUUCGCUUGCCGGUACCACUGGAGGGAGGACAGUUUCAUGUUCUCACCUCCCCCACCAUUGUUCAGGUAUCUGCGGUGCGAUUGAGUUAGUGGGACGAGAGUGAGUACGUGUGUAGCGAUCGAUUAGAGCUUCCGGCACCAGGUUAUUCUGAUUAGUAUUAUCCUUGGUAUUCUGUUGUAUAUUAGUUUAAGCUUCGGUUUAUGUGGUUCAGUAUUUAUUUACAAUUUGAAAAUGUGAAUUUCUGGAUUUUGUAAAAUAAAAAGUUUUCUACCCUCGUGGUAGCGUUUUUAAAGAAUAAGUUCCUGUUGUAGCGGAACAGUUUUCAAAAGAUUUUUAUGGACUUAUGUUUAGACAUGGAAUGCAAUUUGUGAUGUUGAAUGGUGAAUGUAUGAAUGUAUAGUGAUUUUAUAUUCAUUUAGUUGUGGUUGUAUCCUGUUUGUUACUGUUGUACUUGUGCGACGCGUGCAAAUACAGGGGAGACUCUGUCCGUUGUGAACAGUGAUCUCUGUGUUGUGGCGGGUCUGACAUACUCUUGGGGUCAAGGGUUUAAAAAAAAAAAAAAAAAAAAAAAAAAAUUCAGACGCUUUUCUGCUAUCUUCUAAACUCAAAGGGACCCCGGGGCGUGACAAUUUUAUACUCGUUCUAUUGAAAGACCAUUAAUUCUAUGUAUGGGCAAAAGUUUGUCAUUGUUGGUGCAUUUGAGUCUCUAAUUUUUCUAGGAGGCCUCGGUGUACAAACUCCGGUCCACGCAAUAAUUGCGCCUUUAUGCGGGCCGUUGAACUAAGGUUACGUACAGUGUUUUGUGCGACACGUAACGUUGUGUGUACAUGUGGAGGCAUCAUUAAGACGUUCUACAAGAACAUCUGAGAAUUGCUGCACCACAAUUCCUACCCUCUCAUAAGAGGCCAAAUUAGUACUUAAGCUUGCUUAGAAUUGAAGAAUUCCUGUUUGUCACAAUUAUUCAGCAUUGAAAUAUUUAGGCUUAUUCAACUGUCCCUAACACAAAUAGUAAAAAACUUAAUGAUUGAUAUUAGAAAUUUCAAGUUCGCACUUUAAUUAUUUUACAUUUUCAAUUUUGUUCGUUUCUGAAAAAAAAUUUAAUUGCACUAUGAGCAGUGCUAUCUAUAUAUUCCAAAAAAAGUAUAAAUAUUGUAUUCUCUUUAUUUAAGGUCCAAAAGUUGGCUUUUAUCUUCUCAAUAUAUUUUUUUUUAUAAAUACUAGAAUCUCAAAAAAAAAAAAAAAAAAAAAUAAGAAAAAUGGUGUAAAUUAUUACUUUUUUUUUGUGGGAAUGUACAAAGUAGCAUUUGUCAUUGACUUGCACUAUACUUUAUAAGAUUUUUUUCACUUUUUAUAGUAAUAUUACAUUUCUUUUUUUUUCCUCCAAAGACACUAUUUUAACUAUCUUUUAUUUUACUUUUACAAUAAAACAAUAAACCUAUAAUUUUAGAUGAAGUCUAUUAAAAAAACUAGCUGAAAGUAAUCAGAGUAUAUAUUCAGUUCAUUUUUGGCACAAAAAUAGAAUACAUAAAAAAGAAAAAUAGUUUGAAAUAACUAGAUCAAGAUAACUUUUCAAUAGUCUAUCAUUGAAAGAUUUAUUUAUAGUUUUUCGCUACUAUUUAACUACGUGCUCAUUAAUAAAAUUAUUAAAUUUACCUAAAACUGUAAUUUGUUUAACAAUAGAUGAGGAGUUGACGCGAUAAAAAUAGUUUGGCUGAUUCUAUAAAAACGAGAAUAGUAAAAGUAGAAAAAUGAAUAUAUGAUAUAUACAUACUAUAUAAUAUAUAUAUAUAUAUAUAUUGAGUGAGCUACUAUCUAUCGAUAGGCAUGGAGGCCUUCCGUGGCUUCAGCCUCGUUUCACUGUUGCGCACUUUCGAAUCGUCGAUCGCUCCUCCGUUAAACUUGGAUUUAGAGUAUUUGAGUACCUAGAAAAUAAAUUUUAUGAUUUUACGAUAUCCAUUUGCUCUAGUGAACGAAUGGGCUCAAAAUCAAACGGCUGGAAAAUAAAAAUCUUACGAAAACGUAAUAAUAUGACAUAGAAAUUUUUAAAUCAAAGAUAUUUGAUCUGUUUUUAUAUAUAUAAGAAUUUCUAUCAAAAUUGUUACGUGAUUUGGAUAUUUCUAUACGCGUUAAACUGCAAACUGAGGGCUUCACUAUGCAUAUUGAAAUUUGUUGAUUUUGUGAGCCGCAUUCGAUCACUAGCAAAUGAUAUCAAAAAAUAAUAAAUAUUUUAUUUUUAGGUACUCAAAUACUACUAGAUCAAAGUUUAACGAAGCCGAUCGAUCGAUUCGAAAGUCGGGCAACAUCGAAACGAGCUGGAUAAUAACGGUAAGCUUCCGUGGCUUCGUAAUAUAUGCAUAGUUAGCCCUCAAUAUAUAUACUAUAUGAAUAUAUUAUAUAUAUAUAUAUCUAUUAUAUAGUAUAUAUACGAGUCCUGGUACUAGGGCGAGGUGAGAGAGGAGAGAGCACUUGGUGGCUAACCAAGUUUUCGGGGCCGUAGAUCGUGAGUCUUUUUGAUCAUUUUUAUCCGUUAGAUCACGAGACUAUUCAACCAACAUUGCACUGCAUCUUGGGCGCACAUCAAUCCUAUACCGGUACAUGCUCUUAAUCCAAUACCAAAAACAUUGGUAGGCAACUAAAGACUCGGUGCUCAUUAAUAGUAUAUUAGCUCUAGUUCAUAUAUAUUAUAUAUAGUAUAUAUAUGGUGAGGCUACUAACUAUCUAUAGUACCGAGGCUGUCGGUACUAUGGUGUUGGUUUCGAAUCUAGGUCCGUUCAAUCAACGAUCCCAUACCGUUAAAACUGAUACUACGGUAUUUAAGUUUUAAAGAAAUAAAAUUGUUACUAGUUUUUCUGAGCCACUAGUUUACUAUAUGAUCAAAACUAUUUCAAAUUGUCAUUUCAAUCGCUAUUAUACGAGUUUUGGAGUUAACCGGUGUAGAAAAUUUAAAUUUCUUCCAAAUUUUGAUAAAAAAUACUUAAAAUAUUAUAGAUUAAGGGUUCACUUCUUGAUCAUGAAUUAUAGAAGAGCCUAAUGCUCCAAAUUUACAAGAUUAUUUCAAUUUCCACGUCCAUGUUGGAAUAUUAAUUUAUUUACUUAAGUAAACGAUAUCGAAAAAAACUAAAAUUUUAUUCCUACAGAAAUUCAUAUACCCUAGAUCAUAUUUACACGGCUGUGGAUCCGUUGAUUUGAACGCCCUAUAGAUCGAAAACAGAAAUGACUAUAGUACCGAGCCUCAGGAUACUAAUACGAUGGUAAAGUAGCCUAAUUCUACUAUAUAUAUAUAUAUAUAUAUAUAUAUAGAGUUUUGCUAGAAUACUAUUAGUAGUAAAUGGCUCGGUUUACUACCGAUUUGUUUUCGAAAAUAGAGCUUCCAAAUUAAUGAUCGGCACCGUUAAACAUGAUCUAAACUAUUUAAACUAGCUGGAAAUCAAAUUUCACACAUUUUCGAUAUUGUUCUCUUGUCUAUCAAGUGAACAGAAAAAUGAAUGUCUGGAAAUGAAUAUUCUUCAAAAAGUGAUAAUACAAUUUUGGGAUGAUAAACGGUUAGGUUUGAAAUUACCCAAAUAUAAUAAUAUAAUGAUGCCUUUGAAAAAAAAGAAAAACUGUAUAAUACAGCAAAGAAAAAUAACAUUAAAAUACAAUGCAGUAAGGUGUAAUUACACCAAAUGUGAAUAUCUAAUUAAAUAUUUUUAUAUAACAAAAGAAUAUAAAAAAAAUAAAUAUUAUUUGAUAUGAUGUUAUAAUGUUGCUUUUAAUUAGAUUCUCCCCGUGGCAUACAACACAAUAUAAUUGGUUUCUAUAUUGGCUAAUUUGCAUUUUUGGUCCUCAAACUAUGAGGCAGGUGAUACUAGAGUUCUCAAACUAUUAUAAUUUCUAGUUCGAAUUUCUAAAUUGUCGUAACUAAAUUUCACAAUUUAUUAGUUAGCUGAAUGGUGAUGUGUCGCUAAUGCAAUGGUAUUGUACUUGAUAACACGAUAAUGACUAAAAUAGAACAUCGUUGCCGUAUUAGCAGCACAUGAGUAUCUAAUCAAUUAAGAGCUUAUUUGGUACUAAGGCUAAUCUACCGCUAUUAGGUAAAACGAAGCUGAGACUUAAGCAUCUAUGGAUAUGCUUCCUCUUUCUACAAUCAGACUAUAAAAAAUAUGUCAUAACCGACGCACUGUUGUAUAUGCAACGUGAUAUUUUAUAUGGAAAUAAAUGAGGCAUUAUCUGAUUGUAAAUUUUUUUUAUAUCAUGUAACACAAUCUCUCCAUAAUCUCAAACGGAGUCUAAAUUGAAUUGUAGAAUUUGAUUGCUACAAUUUAGCAAGUUAAAGUUUGAAAAUAUGAUAAAUUGAAGUUUAAGGUCCAAAAUGUCAUUGUCUCUUAGUCUAUGGACCAAAGUGUAAUUUAUCCAUCUAUAUAAGUAUAUUUAAUUGGUAAGUGUAUUUUUAUGUCAAGUUUUAGUCUCUCUGUCUGAUCUCUGAUAAUGUAGUUAACAAGUUUGCCCAACCAUGUGUUUCCUGUUAUUGCUUUUUUCUAUAAUAUAUGUAUCAAAUCCUUGAAGAUAUCAAUAAUAUAUAGUUUAGUUUUGUACUUUUUCAGGCAACAAACCUGUCAAAACCCUAGGCUCCUCCAUUGGAGGAAUUCUACACUGUCACACUUGCAAUACGUCAUCAAUAACAAGCCAAUCGCAUUCCUUCUUUUCAAACAAAAGUACAAUAAAAAUACUUUUUUACAAUCAUGAUGGGACAUAUAUUCUUAAAAGGAUUAAUUUGAUUGGUUUGUUACGCCACGUCACUAAUAUACCCGUUGCAUUCUAGAAUUUUUCCCUCCCUUGUCUUCGAUGCCGCGCGCUUCAAGGCCCCGAUGGAUGCCACGAGGGAUGUAUGGUUUCACAUCAUCUCCUCCAACAAAGUGAGGAUCCUUUAUUGUGAUAAUGCACCGUAUCUCUAAAAAAGUUAUAAGGCUAAAUUACAGAAAAACGUCCCGUUAAAAUUCGAUUUUUUACUUUUUUACUCUGUCAUUUGAAAAUCUAUACUUUACAUUUUUAUAAAAUAAAAUAUAUUUAUAUGGGGUUCGGUGUGAACUGUGAUGACAAAAUGAUCAUUUUGUUCCUCAUCAUUUUGCCUCUCACCAUAUUCACAGGAAAGAAGAUUGAAAAUAUUUUUGACAUAAAAAAAAUAUAAUAAUAUUUUAUAAACGAAAUCCUAACGGAUUACUAAUGGUAAGAGGUAAAGUGAAUAUCUUUUAUUUUACAAGGGGGUAAAGUGUAAGAUUUUAAAUGAGAGAGGGGGAAAGUGAAAAAUCAGAUUUUGACACUACAACAAAAACGGUCUAUAGCGACACUUUUAAAUGUUGGUAUAGGUCAAAAAAAGUGCUGCUGGCUAAAUUACCGACACUUUUAAAAAGUGUUGCUAUAUGUGGGGUCGCUAGAUAUAUAGCGACAGUUAAAGAGUGUCGCUAUAACCUAAAAAAGUGCUGCUAAUUUAGCAACACUUAUUUAAGUAUCUAGCAACCGUCGGAACUCUACCUCGUUGGCUGCGGUGGCUGAGGAGGACGAGAGGGAAGGGCCCUUCGUCUAGAAUUUCAGUGGAUUAAGUGAGGGGAGAAGGGGAGAUAGUAAUCGAUUUUUCUUUUUUUUUCCCUUUCAGUUUGGAAUCGGGCCAAAUGGGUUGCGUUGGGUGGGUUGAGUAUAGUGACCUUUUAUUUUUUUGUUGGAUUCGACUUUAUAUUAAGGCAUUAGUAGAUGUUUUUUUAAAUUUUGACAUAAAUGGAACACUUAGACAAAAGUGUCCCAAACAUGUGUCCCUAUAAACUAACUGUUGUAGUGUGAUCGGAGCAUUUUAUGUAUUUUAGCCAAGUUAUAAUGAGAUUAGUAGUUUUAUAAUAUUUGUCCUUUAUAAUGAUGUACUCUGGCCUAAUCACAAAUCUUUUAAACAUUAGACAUUUAAUUAAAUAUUUUUUGUGCAUCUAUAAUUUUUUUUGUAUAUAUAACAUUCAAUAUUUGCAUUGUAUAUUAUUGUGAGUUUUUGUUUAGCCAGAUUAGUUGCUAUAUGAUAUUUUAUUUGAUUAUUAUAUUAUAAAAAUAAUUUUAAUCAUCUAUUUAUAUAAGGGUAAACUUCAAAUACCCCUUUGUGGUUUCACACUUUCUCAUUUUAAUACCAUGUGGUUUAAAGUGUAUCAAGUUAGCCUUGUGGUUUCGCACUUUCUCACUUUAGUACCCUGCGGUUUAAAGUGUAUCAAGUUAAUACCCUGUGGUUUUAUUUUUCUCUUUGUAUUAUCCAUUUCACUAAUUUUUUUCAUUAAAUCAAUAAUAAAGUUAAAAUUAAAGGGUACUAAAGUGAAUAUUCGAUAAACCUUAUGUAUUUGAAGUUUUUUUGCAUAUAAUUUAACAAAAUAUUAACUGAGGAAAAAAAAUUAGCGACAAAGUUAAAACUAAAGGGUACUAAAGUAAAUAUUCGAUAAAACUAUGUAGGGUAUCUAAAGUUUUUUGCAUAUAAUUUAACGAAAUAUUAACAGAGGAGCCAACGAAAAGAGAAAAAUAAAAUCACAUGAUACUAAAUUGAUGCACUUUAAACCAAGGGUACUAAAGUGAGAAAGUGUGAAACAACAGGGUACUAAAUUGAUACACUUUAAACUACAUGGUAUUAAAGUGAAAAAGUACGAAACCACUGGGUAGUAUUUGAAGCUUUCCCUUUAUAUAAUAUAUGUGACUUCUCUUGAAUAAGUUUGAAUAGUUUUGCUGGAACAAUUGAUUCUUUUUUAUUAUAGUUUUAUUUUUUUAAAAGUAUUUAUCUAUAAUAUAGCCUAUAUUUGUUAUUUUGUCCUGCACUGAUACUUUAUUCUCCACAAAUUUUUACUUUAAUAGUAUCUACCUGCCGCAAUGCGCGUGUCACCAUACUAGUUUAGAUGAUUGAAGUAUUCACUUCUAGCUAGCUCAAAAAGUUUCAACUCUAAUUGAAAGUGAAUUUGGUUAGAAUUAAGUUUUAAGGGAGAGAGAUAGGGGUGGUCUUUUUGACCUUGAAGUAAAGAUAGUUCCAAUUUGUGGAUUUUUUCCAAUGCAAUAUAUCCUUCUUGAGUUCCUUCUAAUAUUUGAGCAAUUUAGUGACAAAACUUAAAGAUAAAAGAUCAGUCCAAAUUUCACCAUUAUUUGUUAUCAUCAAAUUUUAAAUGAAGAUUAAAGUCACUAGGCCAACAUCAUGUUCCAAAUUUAAUUGUUCAACUUACUUUUCGAUUACAAAAAAAAGUGUAUGUACCUAAGCUGGUGAGAUCACACGGUUAAGAUAUAAAUUACUUUGUAUAUAUAUAUAUAUAUAUAUAUAUAUAUAUAUAUAUAUAUAUAUAUAUAUAUAUAUAUAUAUAUUUGAGAAGAACUAAAACUUUUAGAAGUAAACUUUAGCAAAUUCUGACGGUAAAACAUCCGAAUUGAUGAUAAUUAAGCACUAUUAAAUUGGAUUUAGGUUAUUUAAAUUUUCGAGGUUUCGAUUCUAGAUUUUCUAAAAUUAUUUGCCUAGAUGGCUAGAUACAGAAAUUUUGAUUGCUGUAAAUCAAGCUUAACAAUGCCAUUCAUUGGAAUCUGAACAUUUUUACUUCCAAAAUUAUUCUAAUUUUAUAUAUUCCUUCUCUACGCAAACGUUUUUUGAGGACCUUUUGCUCAUGUUUGUCCCACAUCCACAUGCAAUAUUAUUAUCUAUAAACAUUAAAAAAGAAAGGGAGGGUCUUGGAAAUUAAAAUAAAACACACCCACAGUGCCUGUAGCUAAAAGCGACUCUUCUUCUUACCCCAAUCAAUGUGUCGGGGGCAAACAUCUAAUUUUUUAUUUUUAUAUUUUAAUUUUAUUUCGGACGAAACAAAGUUGAGCAUCAAUAAAUUUUAUUUAAUUAGUAAUUUAUUCGAAAGAACAAAUAUGUUAAACUAUCUAAUAAAAUUUAGAAUUUUUAAUUGUUAAAAUUAAAAGUUGACCAAUUAUAUUUUAGAUAUUUCAAAAAAUUUUAAAUAUAAAAUUAAUUGCUUAUCAGACUAUAAAUAUGGCAUUAAAAUUUAAUAUUAAAAUCAAAGUAAAAAUAUAUAAAAUUUUUCUAAACUAUAAACCAUUUUGAAUCAGCUAUUUAACCGUUAAAAACUCUAUUUUUAAGGCUAAAUUACAGAAAACCUCAUUGUCGAUAUCUGCUUUUUUAUUUUCCCCCGGUGUCUUUUAAAAACCUACACUUUGCCUCUUUGAAAUAUGAUGAAUGUUCGCUUUAGCCCCCCACCAUCGGUAUUUCGUUAGGAUUCCGUUUAUAUCCGAUUAUCAUAUAUUUUUAUACCCAAAAUAUCCUCAGCCUCCUCCCCGCCGCCUCCUUUAACUCGCCGCCCACGCCGCCUUGCCAACUCCGCCACCUCACGCUCCUUCGCAGCCUAGCCUUGGCCACCCCUCCAUCCGCGCCCACACAUACGCUUUGGCACUCCUUCGCGGUCUCGCCCUUGCCCUCACCCACCUCUCCGUCCAUACCCACCCCAAUAUUCUCCUUAUCGUCGUCGAAAUGGAGGGGGCGACAAGGGUGUAGGAAGGAGCAGGGGAGCAGGUAGAGGAAAUGGAGUCAAAGUUGUAAUUGAGCGAGGCGCGAAGAACGGAAGAGGAGAGGCGACGGCUGAGCAAGAUUGGGGAGAAGAUAAAGAUGGUGAGGGGCAAUAUGGUUAUUUUAUCAUCACAGUUAACACCGUACUUUUCCGUAAAUAUUUUUUAUUUUUCAAGGGGGCAAAAUAUGGGUUUUUAAAUGAUAGGGGGAAAGUUAAAAAAGCGGGUAUUGAUAGAGAAUUUUCUAUAAUUUAGUCUUUUUAUUAUCCAAUCUUUCGACAUGUUAGAUUUGAAUCAGUCAAUGAUAUUUUGACUUUAAAAUUUGAAUAUAUCGUUUAGCUCUACAAAUUUAAUUUUAUAUAUACUUCAUUAAUUCUUGCAACUAAAUUUAUUAAAAUAAGUAUUAACUUAAACUCUAUUAAUUUGUUUUAAAAAUUUUUUUAUUUUACAAUCUAUAUCUAAGUGAUAAAUAUUAUAAAAUUAAAAUUUUAUGUUUAAUUUAUGUAAUCUAAACUAUUUAAAAUUAUGUUUGAAAAAUUAUAUAUUUUAAUUUUUGUAAUGAUAGAGAAGCAAAUUAGAUUGAAUUAAAAAAAGUCCAAUUCUCUUAGUCCCAAUAAAUGUAGAGAGAAAAUAAUUAAAAUAAAAAAAAAAAUCUCCAACCUAAUCCGACCCCCACCCAGCCCCCCUCCAGCUCCACGUGGCUUAAAACAACUGAAAAUUCAUUAUAUAGAAUAUAUCUAUAAUCGAUAUCUAUAAUCUAUAAAUUUCUAUUAUUUUUCAAUAACUGCACACAUGGCAGCGGGAAGCGGAGGCGCGGGCGAGAGCGUGGGGCGGAGGCUCGGGCGCAGGGUGGGCGAGGGCGUAGGCGCGAGGGCAGGCUCCGGCCCUGGCGCGGGGGUGGGCGCGGGGAUGGGUGCGGGCGCUGGCGCGAGCAGGCGCGAGCCGAGAGGCGAAGGGGCAGGGCGUGGGCAUGCGCCGGCGCGGGCUCAGGCACGGGGCGAGCCGGCGCGGCCUUGGCGUGGGCGCGAGUACGAGCGGGCGUGAGUGGGCGGGGGCGAGCGCAAGGGGCAGAGGCGCGGGCUGGGGCGAGCGCCGGCUCAGGCCGGAGCCGGCGCGGAGGCGCCAGCCCAGUGUGGACGGGGCUGGGAGCGGACCGGGGCGCAGCGCAGCGCGGGGGAGCAGGCGCGCGGGCCGAGAGAGCGGCGCGCGCGAUGGUGGGCCCCUGCGGGAGGGGCGGGGAGGGCCCAACGAGGGAAAGGAUUUUUUUUUUUUCUUUAAUUAGGGGAAGUUUUUUUUUUUUCUUUAACCAGGAAGGAUUUUUUUUUUUUUUAAUCAGGGGAAGGAUUUUUUUUUCAUUUCCUAUUUAGAAAAAAAUUAUAAUUUUUAAAAAUUUUAAUCUACUUUUUUUAUUAUAAAAUUUAAAAUAUAUAAAUAAUUACUAAAUAGUUUAGACUAUUGAUAACUUGGUAUUAAAUAUAAAUAUUAAUUUUAUAAUAUUGAGAAUUCAGAUAUAAAUUAUACAUUAAAAAAUAAAAAAAAGAUUAAUAGAGUUUAAGUUAGUUUUAUAUUUUACGAAAGUUAGUUGCGAGAAUUACAUGAAAGAUAGUAACUAAUAAAAGAUUUCUCUUCUUAUUUUAUUAAUUCAUGGGGGAUUAUCAUGACUAUUAAAAAUUUUGAAUAUACUAUUUGCACCAUUUAUUUCUUAAACACAUGACGAUGUUUGGAAUAAUUAGCAUCGGGUAAUUUCAUUUGUACCCCUUAAAAGAUUAGAAAUAACAUAAAUAAUAUUACAAAAUUGGUAAUAUAAAAGUAAACAAAAGAGAAUGAGAUAAGAAAAUAGUUAAUAAAGUUGAAGAAUUAUUUCAAAAUAAUUUAUUGUUGAGAGAGCUCCUUAUAUUUGCUAUGUUAGAGAAGAUAGUUAUAUUUAUUUAAAAUUAUUUCGUAAUUUGUCAGUAGCAUUUCAUAAUUAUUCUAAAAUUAAUUUUUAUAACUAAUUUUAAAGAUUAAAUUUUAAAAUAACUAUUCGCAGUAUCGCAGGUCCUUAACUAAUUUAUAAUGACAGGGAAGAAAAUUAGUUUGAAUUAAAAAAAUUUCAAUUCUCCCGGUCCCAAUAAAUAUAGAGAAAAAAUAAUUAAAAUGAAAAAAAAAUCUCCAACCCAACCCGACCUGCACCUAGCUGGGGCCCACACCCAUCCCCAUCGCCUCCCCAGCUCCACGUGGCUUAAAACAACGGAGAAUUCAUUAUAUAAAAAAGAAAAAACUUCAAAAAACCCCAUAUGGUUUCAUUCAUUCUCACUUUAGUACCCUUUGAUUUAAAGUGUAUCAAUUUGCACCCUGUGGUUUCGUUUUUAUUUUUUCGGUAGCUUUUUCGUUAAUAUUUUAUUAAAUUAUAUACAAAAAACUUUAGAUAACGAUCUAGAUUUAUCAAAUAUUCAUUUUAGUAUUCUUUAAUUUUAACUUUAUCAUUGAUUUAAGAAAAAAAAUUAAUAAAAUUGAUAAGAAAAAGAGAAAAAAGAAACUACGGGGGGCAAAUUGAUACAUUUUAAAUUACAGAGAGGCAAAGUAAGAAACUAUGAAACCAUAGGAGGUUUUUUUUGAAGUUUUUUCUAUAAAAAAAAAUAAAUUUGUCCAUCCGUCGCAUCAAGUCCAAUGCACUGACAAUUAAUUCAACCUUGCACACCACACUAAUCAUUUCUUUUGUUGACGUAAAGACAGAUAUGCUAUCAAACUUUUCUAAACUUUGGAUAAGCCGACACCAAGAUUGAUUCGGAAUAUCGGACGUGAUUGCAAUCUAUAUGAAUAAGCAGGAUUUUAUUGGAGUUUGCGUGACUUAUUCCGUCAAAAUUAAUAAAAUUUUAAAUGGUUAUAACAAAUUUGGAACAAAUUAUAAGGGUUAGGGACCUAAUAGCAAAAAUUAAAAAAAGAAAGUUGGAAACCAAAGUUUAAAAGAGUAAAGAUUAGCAAUCAAUGAUGCAAUUAGCCAUUUUUAUUUCACUAAAAAGUUCAAAGGAUUAAUUGAAAGAAUAGUCCCCAGCCUUUAACCGAUAAUCAAUUUGAUCCCCAACCCUUUUUUUUUCUCGAAGAAGGUUUUUAAACUUUAUUAUUUAUUUUAACUAGUAUAGGAUUCGCCCUUUGCGGCGGAUAGAUAAUAUUUCAUUAUUAAAAUUUUAAAAAUAAAAAAUAUAUUAAAAAAUAUAAGACAAAUUAAAAAAUAGUCUUAUAUAAAUUAUAAAAAAUAGUUUUUUAAUUACUAUUUUCUUAACUUUCAAUAUUUAUAGAGUUGAAUUAUUUUAAUAAUUUUAUUUAAAAUUUUACUAAAACUUUAUAGUUUUGAUGGCAUUCUUUAAGUAAAUUUUUUAAUUAAAAGUUAAAGUUGGAGGAUUUAUUUCAAAUUAAAAAAUAGGUGAGAGUAUCUUUAUCUUACUAANGGCUUCUUAGAAUUUUAUAACAACUAUUUACUCGUAUUAUGUGUAUCAUCGAUUACUAACCAAAUUAAAAAAGCCAAAGUUUGUACAGUUAACAAUUCUGUAAUUGAGAUUUUUCCAUUUGGUUAGUGAUCAACGUUGUAUAUCUUUCGGUUGAAUAGUUCUUGUACGAGACAGACUCUAUGUGUAUUAUUUGAUAAUAUACCAGAGUAAGUUUUUUGAAUCUAUACAUUAUCGUAAUUACAAAUUCACGUACAGUGUACGGUGUAAUUCGAUUAUUCAUGUAGAUUAUGUUUUCAUAUGAGUUGAUCCUAUAUUGACCUUGUAUGGCGCUCCUCGAGCAGUAAGCGCCCGAGGCGAUGAUCCCGAAGCAGCUGACGCCGCUAGCUGCGGGAAACGAGGAGCUCGACAAUGGAUUAUCUUCAACGUACGGUCGUUUUAUCUUAUUUUUAUCGAAGUUUCGUCCUUUUUGUUUUUUUCUUCUUCUUCUGAACGAUAUAUAAUUGUACUUCUUAUAUUUGACCAUCCAAGGUUGUUUCUCAAGUCACAUUCAAGGUUUCUAUUUCUUAACGAGAUUCCUGGUUUUUAACCGAUAGAUAAGGAAGUCUAAUCACUUUCUAUGGAUCUUUUUAAUUAAUAAAGUAAGAUUAUAUUUACAGCGUAGUGGGUUGUUUUUGAAUAGUAAUGUGUUCUUUUGAUAAUAUAAUUGUGAUAACGAUCUUCAACUAUUGAGUUAUGAGUUGGUUUUUAGAGAUAAUAACGUAAAAUUUUUGUCUAGUACUUGUAUAUUUCAAGAACUUAUUGUGUCAUAGCGUUAAGAUAUCCAUUCUUAAAUAGUAUGAAGAUUGUAAUAGUUGUUGUUGGUUUCAUUGAGUGACCUUUCAGAUGCUUUUAUAGCCGGAUAAAUCCGGGUAUAACACUACUAGGUUAUUAAUCUUUGAUCCAGAGUGACCUUAUAGAGGAUUUUUUCACAUAAAUCCAUGGGUUCACAGCCAAUACUCUAGUCUUUAAGCCCGAGGACAUAUACUAAUUUACUUACCAAGUACAAGGAUCCAAGAUUAAUCGUAUACAUAUCCUUAUUUUUUUGGAGUUCCUGUUACCUCAGACGUUUAUUUUAUUUUGGAGUUUUUCUUUUCAUUUAGAUGUUGUAAAGAUUCCUCAAGAGGUACUGUAGUGUUACUCAUGUAUUGAAUUUUUUUGUGCUGGAUCCCUGAAGCUUCUUGCAAACGUAAUAGAGUAAACAGUUGUGUUCUAUAUAGGUAGUAAUCUUCUAUCUUAAAUUAUGACUGUAGGAAGAAUUUGUGUUAUAGAUUGUUGAUGUUGAUCUGUUUUUACAUGUCUACAUGACUUAAUACUUUACAAUUGCUUUGUUUAUUACUUUUAUUUAUAAGUCAUUAAGGGUUAUAUUUUAGUAUUUGAAAGUAAUACUAAGUAAAUUUUUUUAAUUGUACAGGAAUGCGCAAGACAAAUCGACUUUUGGAGAAUAUUUUAAUUGUGCAGGAAGAGGCAAGACAAAUCGACUUUUGCAGGAUUAAGUUUCUUCGGGUCCAUUUCUUUUUGUUUAGAGAUUUCGAAAUGGGCAUGACUAGAAAACUGCUUAUUUUAAAGAUGCAUAUGACAUCGAUCUUUAUGUUUUGAGAGUUAUUACUUGAUGUGAAUUUGUUAUAACAUAUAUUUGAUUUUGUGGUUGUUGGAAAAAUGUUUUGUACAAACUGUUAUAUUUUGGAUAUGUACAAUGCAUUUUUCAUGUAUGGUUUAGAAUCUGGCUAGUACAAGUUAUGUUCUUUUUGUAGUUUCUUAUUAUUUAUGUAAUGCUCUUGUAUAGAAAGUAUAAUGUUUAAUUCAAUGUAUCUUAUAAUACAUACUUUUUGUGAGGAAUUUCAGAAAAUGGCUACAAAAGAUCGACAUUAACACUAGCAAUUUUUAUAUGACCAAAAAACUAUUGUUGCCACAGUAGUAAUAACUUUUUGUGACAAAAUAUAAAGUUUGGACACAAAUAUGCAUAUUUUUGUUACGAUUUUUAAUAUUCCUCACAAAAAGUCAUUAAACUAUUAGAAUUAUUGUAAUAUGAAACACUAUUGUGACGAACUAAAUGGCCACAAAAGUUUAAAAUAUUUUAUGGCGAUUUAUUUUCUCCGUUAAUAACUAUUAUUUCACAAUGUGUAAAAUGGUAUCUGCGACGAAUAUUUUCGUCACAAAUAACAAAUUGUUUUGUGGCGAAUUUUAUUUCCUCACAAUAAUUACUGUUUUUUUACAACAUAUAAAACAGUAUCUGCGACGAACAUUUUCGUCACAAAUAAUAACUUGUUUUGUGGCGAAUGUUUUUUCCUCACAAUAAUUACUAUUUUUUCACAAUAUAUAAAAGAGCAUCUGCGACGAACAUUUUCGUCACAAAUAAUAAUAUAUUUUGUGGCGAAGAUUUUUUCCUCACAAUAAUUUUUAACAGCGGGGUUAUUAUGGCGACGCUGUGGCGGAAUAAAUUUGGCCACAAAAACGUUUUUGUGGCGAAAUAUGUACUUUUUGUGGCGAAAAUGUGCUCCACAAAAUGUUAUAUUUCUUGUAGUGCUUCAAAUGUUUGAUGGUGCAUGUUUCUAUUGUGGCUAGAAAUUUUCUUUUCCACGCCUUAACUUUUAUCUUCUAGAUGGUUGACAAGUUGAAUUUGAUUGUGUAGAUUGAUUAUAUAUAUUUGGAUUAAUUUUUUUCAAUCUUGAUAUGAACUCCUAAUUGUAUUAUUUAGCAAAUAAAUAAUUCUUAAUUUGCUAUAACUUUCUAUGACUCACCUUAUGUAUUUAUUUAAAAAAUUCAUAAAAAUAUAACUUAUUAUUAUUUUAUAUUUUUUUUCUCAUAUUAUCUAUCUGCUGCAUCGCGCGGGUCACUACUCUAGUUAGUUUUAAAAUCUCUAUUAAAGAAUGUUGAGUAGGUGGCACAUUGUACAUAAAUACAUCUGGGUGCAGAUUAUGCUUAGUACAGUGCACAUAUAAUUUCAAAAGAGAUAGCCAAAUAAAAUAAAUGAUUGUUUUGGCAAGACUUUUACAUCUAUACCUUUUUAACAUAUAUGAAGCUGGAUAUACGAAUUUUUUUGAUAAAGGCACGAGUCGAAAUUGGAAACUCCAUUUUAAAGAGAUCAACCUAAAUAAUAACCACUACACUAAACUAAUUGUUAUUCUCGUGAAGCCGCGAGAUACUAAGGUGUGAAAAGUUUUUUUCUUUUAUUUUAGGAAAAAGGUGCGAGGGAUAAGGGUAAGGUGAUUUAUUUUUUUUGUCAGAGAUAAAUAUAUAACAGGCUAUCCGUCUCGUUUAUUUUAUUUUAAAAUAAAUUUAAAUAAAAAUAAAAAUUAAUGAAUAUUCACAUGUGAAAUUUUAAGUACCAGCUAUCAAACCCUUUAUGACUUGCCGUAGGAUGAGUGGGUGAUAAGACAGUUUUGCUGGGAGUUGGUUUUUGUUGUCUCUGCGUGCUGAAAUACGGAAGUUGAACAGAUGCUGCAACCGGCGGCAUUGACACCUCAUGUGCUCCCACGUUGUCGGCCUCCAAAUCCCCCACGGCUGGCCAGAUCUCACGCCUAAAAUUACAAAAGUACCCCUUGUGUUUUGUCCCGUCUCGGUGAGUACUUGUUUGAACAUCGUCUUAGUCUCAGUGGCUGUGUUUGCUUUUUACGUAAAGUGAGUACUAAAUAUUCUUUUUGAUCUGAUUUUACAAUUUUAUCUUCGGUGAAAACUCAAUACUCCCGAAAAUAUAUUUCGAUCCGUACAAAUCAAUAUUAAUUAUGAAAAAAAAAAGAAGAUAGUAAUCCGCCUCUUAUACCUCGACUUUUUGACACGCAAAUGGAAAAACUUAAAAAACGUUCAGAUACACAAUUAUAGGAACAAACUUUCAAAGAAAGAUAAUUUUUAUCUAAAUUCUAUUUAGUUCGAAAGUCUAUUUAAACCUAAAUUUCACCGUCAGUAAAAUCUAAAAGUUUUGAAGGCAAUAAGAUAAAAAGAUAUUUCAUUUAAAUUCAGUUCGACUAGUUGGUUCGUGAAUCAAUAUUUUUAACAGGGACGAAUCAAUUUGGAUGACUAAAAUAUUAUGUUGAAUCGUUCAAACCACAGUUCGACCAAUAAAUGGAAGAACUGUUCUGGUAUUUGCGGAAUUGGCCAGAUGGUUUUUGUUUUUUCCUUGUAGAUUUUUGGUUGGAUGGUCCAAAUAUUAGGAGCUUGAUUGGUUCUUUCAUUUUAGACUAUAAAAUCGAUAUGGAAUUCAUUGAUUCCGACAAAUGUUAUUUACUUUACAAAAAUCAGAUUUUGACUUCGGUUCCACCCUAAAAUUGGAAUCGCCCAAUCCAUUUAUGGCCCAGUCUGGCUUUGAAUUUCGAAUCGGCCCCGUCCAAAAUUAAUACCACUCAAAUCCUUCUCUCAUAUAUACUACCUACUCCUUUUCCUUCAUCACUCUCCUCUCUUUUAACCAAAUUCCUCUCGCAUAAAUUUAAAUUUUCAUUCACAUUUCUAUUCCAAUAAUGAGUUAAUCAAACAUUUUUCACUGACGCGUCAUUUUAUUUUUCAUUCUAACGCAAUCCAUUUUUUUUUUAUAACUAUUCUCAUCAUGAACCAAACAUGCAUGCUUUGAGAGAAUGAGUUUUGAAAAGUUACCCUGAUAAAAUUUUCAUUUCUUUUACAUUUUAUUAUUUUAUAAUAAAUUGGAAAUAUAUUUUGACUUAUUUUAAUAUAUUAAACUAACAAUUAAUAGUUUAUGACACUCUGCUUGUCAAAGAAUAUGGUUAUUUUUUGAAUUACUUUCCAUGUAUAGAAUUUCCAUAUAUUGUAUUUCCAUUCUUUUGUUAAUUGUAUAUUAUAAAUCAAGAUGAAUAAUAUUGUUCAGUAGAAUAGAUCUGAACUUUACAAUAUCUCUUCUCAAAUUUCUACUCUUUGAAUAAAGUUCACAUGGUAUCAGAGAAAGGUUUAUCCUUCGCAUUUUGCUAUUGUAUUUUGCCUUGGUAAGCAAUAGCAUAUUCAGUGCAGAUUCUGCACGUAUUGAUUGUUGAGUUCUCGAAGGCCGUAGCAA